rnacentral:lncRNA from 1 species
CCUUUGUUGCUUUGGGAAAGGACAAGGAAGUAACAGGAUGAUUGUUGAGCAACUUGAAUCGUUGAACUGUACUUCCUGAAAGGAGCACUAAGGCAAAAUUGCCACACGUGGGCCUCCGAGUUGAUCAGGAUUUGGAUCAAGGACUUCUUCCUGCCACGAUCUUUGUACACUAGAUGGCUGCUGAAUAAUGGGGUCCUAGACCUGGAGGGGAUCUUUAGGUACCAUCAAGUAGUCCACUGCUGCCUAGCAAGUCUCAUUCAGAUGGUCUGUCCAGAUCAUCCCCAGACAGAUAUGUGUACAGGUCUUGAUCGAACUAAAGAUUUAGGAAAUGGAAUUCAUUUUCUCAUGUACAUAUAUUGCCCUUUGCUGCUAUAUCUGGCUUAGAGGAUGUAACCUGGAUGCUACUGGAUCCUAAGCUCCUGAGCUAGGGUGAACUGUAGAUGACUGGUUCAGAUUCUCCACUCACAUUCUGGAUCCUGACCCUUGGCUCUGUACUGCAAGACCCAUACACAUAUGAUGAAGAAACACAGAUGAAUUGUGGUUAUGAUAUAAACAAUGCCCCAGAAACUGAAAUAGAGUACUUUAUUCCAGUCCUAUUUAUAACUCAGCCUCUAUGAACAGAUACAUGGGAACGGCUGGCAUGUAACUCGAGGCAGCUCCACAUCAAACCCACAUCAGCUGCCUGCCACAGACAUCAGCAAGACUCGUCAGUAUGCUGCUCUUGAGGUUAUGCAAAAUUUACAGAAAUAAAGUGGAAAUUGAAAACCUGCACAUAUAUAAAAGAUGAAUUAAAA